UACGUAGGCAGCAAGCGUUGUUCGGAAUUACUGGGCGUAAAGAGUGUGUAGGCGGUGCUCUAAGUUCGGUGUGAAAUCUCCCGGCUCAACUGGGAGGGUGCGCCGAAAACUGGAGUGCUGGAGCGCGGGAGAGGAAAGCGGAAUUCCUGGUGUAGCGGUGAAAUGCGUAGAUAUCAGGAGGAACACCGGCGGUGUAGACGGCUUUCUGGACCGUAGUUGACGCUGAGACACGAAAGCGUGGGUAGCAAACAGG
rnacentral:rRNA from 1 species